GAUGGGUGAGUAUUAUCCCGGCCCAUCCCCGAAUCCCCGUCAAUCCCCAGGAGCCCAUUUGGUGCUGGAGUUUUGGGCCAAAAGAUCCCCGCCCAUCCCCGCUUAACCCCGUCCCCGGCCCAUUUUUUGGCUUGGACUGAAUCCCGGACGUGGACCUCGCGUAUUAUCCCCGUCCCCGACUCCCAGUCUCGUCUCCAUCCUCGUCCUUUUCCGAACCCUACCGAGCGAGCGACCGGCGGCAACCGACCGGAGGCGAGCGGAGCUGCUGCGGGAGGGGCAGGAGGAGCGGAGCAUCUUACCGGCGGUAGGGGUGGAGAAUCUUACCGGCGGGAGGGGCGGGAGAGGCAGAGCAUCUUACCGGCGGGAGGAGAUGGAUCCCGCCUAGCUGCUCCCACAUCAGAUCACCGACGUUCUUGCAGACUGACCGGCGCCGCCAACUACUUCCGUUCUGAUCUCCGAAGCUACUCUACAGUUGGAAGCUUUGGUUGGUAACCUAGAAGAUGCAACAUUUUCCAUCGUUAGACAGGCCUCGAAGUUGAACCUGUCAUCAGUACUUCGACGGGCAUCAAAUCGUUUCAGUUUCCAAAAGCCUUCGUAGCCACUGCUCCCGUCUACGUCUACUGUCGCACAUGUCGCUGCAAUUUCUACCAGUGAUGGCACCUGUGAUGUGUGCUCGCGUCUGAUGUUGGUCAAAAGACUGUUUGUUGUUGACUGGUGUAACCUGUUAUGAUAUUUUGUAGUGUCAUGGUUGCUCAGAAGUUGCAAGGUUCACAUGUUAUGUUGUCUGUGAUGAGAAUUGUGACAACAUGAGUUCCUUUUCCACUGUAUCCUGGAUUUUGGACUUUCA